CAUAUCUAUCUAAGGCUAUACAAUUUUCCUGGUCACUGCUUUAAUUGUAUAAAGAUACAUAGAUUCUGACACAUAAUAUUUUAAUGAUUAUUUUUUACAACAUGAUAUUAAUUGUAUUUCUUCAUUUGGAUCUGGGUUCUUUGCAUAAUAAUCAGAGAAUUUUUUGUAUUAUGACUACUUUGUGUGAUUUAUUGAAUUUUUUAUUGUGACUCAAUAUGUGGUAAAUUGGUGAAUUUCACAAAUAUCCAAUGUGAAAUCAGAAAUAAGACUUAUUCUCUGUUAUCAGGGUGCAUAUAGAUCCAUCUGAUUUAUUGUACUGCUUGUGUCCCCUUUAUCCUCACUUAUUUUUUAUCCACUUUACCUUUUUCAGUCUGAGCAUGGCAUGCCGAAGUCUCUUAAUGUUUGCUCUGUCUCUUUGCAUUUCCUUUGGUUUCUGUUAUAGAAAGGUGGCUGAUGUGCAAAAAGUUUCUAUCUCAUCUUUACUAUUAUCCCAGUUGCCUUGGCUUCAAGUAUAUACAGCUUGUCCUGUUGCCACGAACCUUGGAACACCACCACUCACCUGUGCCAAAGUACAAUGGAAACAUCAUAGGCAGGGAGUUUGGAAACCUGGAUUGAGGUUUUGCUCUGAAACUAUCUGAGUCCCAAUUUACUCCCUUUUACACUGGAGAUGAAAGCUGCUUCCUGCCCACCUCAUUAGCUUGCUGUGAGUGUUGAAUGAGAUUAUGCAUCUGAAAGCUACACAAACAUAAGAAAGGAAAUAUGAAAGAUCCACAAGCCCUCUGACCCCCAAGAAUUUGGAGCAGCACCAAAUUUUGGGGGCAGUGACAGAAAGCUAAUGAAAAUUAAAGUCACCCACUGCCUCCAAGUCAGCAGACCUGACUCAUGAAGAUGAAACUUCUCUCAAGAGGAUAUUUGCCAAGUGAUACUGCUCAUAGGAAAGUAUUCCAUCCAAUCCGCCCAGCAUGGACUCCAGAUUACUGAGCUUUUGGGAGGUUCAUUUAUCAGAGGAAAUUGCAACUGGUUUCUUGGUCUAGUGACCCUAACUUGUACAGGUGGCAGCCUUCAAUCUUGGCCGAAUUCCAGCUGGGAUAAUUCCAUUUGGUUCCCCAUCCAAUGAGGAGCUCCUAGCUUCCAAUUAGUUCCUGGCUUCCACUUCAUUGGGAGCAUCGUCCUUCCCUUCCUGUCUUGGAAAUUGCCACUAGCAGGAGAAUAUAUGACUACAUUUUUGCAUGUGCAGAGUGGAUUUUCCCCGUUUCCUAAUGAGGACAUUUUUCUUGUGAGACCAACUUCCAAGUAGCUUAUUCUUAGAAGCUAGCCCCAAGACCUUUUCUCGCUAACCAGGUAAUUUAGAGAAUGAUAGACCAUUAUAGCUGUUUGGAAAGCCAUGGUCACUGACAAAGGAUUACUAGUGGCUGAGCAGGUAUAGAGGUGUGAAGUGACUGGUGGGUUUAAGACAAGUGAAAAGAAUAAAGGCUAGAGUGUGCAUUGCA
rnacentral:lncRNA from 12 species